AUUGAACGCUGGCGGCAGGCCUAACACAUGCAAGUCGAACGGUAACAGGAAGCAGCUUGCUGCUUUGCUGACGAGUGGCGGACGGGUGAGUAAUGUCUGGGAAACUGCCUGAUGGAGGGGGAUAACUACUGUAAACGGUAGCUAAUACCGCAUAACGUCGCAAGACCAAAGAGGGGGACCUUCGGGCCUCUUGCCAUCGGAUGUGCCCAGAUGGGAUUAGCUAGUAGGUGUGGUAACGGCUCACCUAGGCGACGAUCCCUAGCUGGUCUGAGAGGAUGACCAGCCACACUGGAACUGAGACACGGUCCAGACUCCUACGGGAGGCAGCAGUGGGGAAUAUUGCACAAUGGGCGCAAGCCUGAUGCAGCCAUGCCGCGUGUAUGAAGAAGGCCUUCGGGUUGUAAAGUACUUUCAGCGGGGAGGAAGGGAGUAAAGUUAAUACCUUUGCUCAUUGACGUUACCCGCAGAAGAAGCACCGGCUAACUCCGUG
rnacentral:rRNA from 1 species